rnacentral:lncRNA from 1 species
AAGAAGAGACCACUCCCUCUGGUUCGCUUGCUCGUGGAAUCUACUCAGCAAAACUUAAGGUACGUACGAUCGAAUGGGUAUCUAGAUAAAAACAUCAAAAGUAUCGACUUCAGUCCUAGUUUCUUUGUUACUUAUCCGAAAUCUUCUUUGUGCUAAUUGAGAAACAAAAUAUUACCUGCAUAAGACUGACUUCGCUUUCCGGCUUAUUGCAGUUUGAAGAUGACGACAGGAGAUGCCACCUGGAACUCGACUACUCCUUCGAAAUCAAGAACCGUUGAUCGUAUAUUUCUCGAGAUCAAACAAGAUUAAAACUGAAUGGAAGAGGCUGUACAAUGCAAGUGUGCUUUUUUUCAAGUUCCAGUAUGUUUUUAACAGCGGAAACUCAGUUCUAAAGAGACCAUACCUUACCAAAAUCCCAAAAAGAAGUUGGGCGAAUAUGUUCACCCGUGCAUCCCUCCCUUUCCAAUUCCUCCAUUCUGAAAAGCCG